rnacentral:snoRNA from 12 species
GUUGGUUGAAAAUCACCUGCGGCCCUGCCCGUGGCCGCGGGUGAGAUUCGGCGCCCAGAGCCACCGGGGGCCUCAGCUCACCGCCCACUGGUCCUUGUGGAGAGGUGAAACCCAGGCCCCGACAAGC